GCCGGGAUGGCGAAACAGGAAGACGCGAGAGACUCAAAAUCUCUUGGGCCUUCGCGCCCGUGGGGGUUCGACUCCCCCUCCCGGCA
rnacentral:tRNA from 1 species